GGAUUCUUGAUCGAAUAUUAAUUAAACUUCAAAGAGCAGGGCACAGGGUGCUUCUUUUCAGUACCAUGACAAAACUGCUUGAUAUCUUGGAGGAGCAUUUGCAGUGGCGACGACUCGUCUAUAGAAGGAUUGACGGGACAACAAGCCUAGAGGACCGUGAAUCCGCUAUUGUGGAUUUUAAUAGUCCAGAUACUGAUUGCUUUAUCUUCUUGCUAAGCAUUCGUGCUGCUGGUCGUGGAUUAAAUCUGCAGAC
rnacentral:misc_RNA from 1 species